CGCGUGUGUGAAGAAGGCCUUCGGGUUGUAAAGCACUUUCAGCUGUGAGGAAAGGCGAGUGGUUAAUACCCGCUUGCUGUGACGUUAACAGCAGAAGAAGGACCGGCUAACUCCGUGCCAGCAGCCGCGGUAAUACGGAGGGUCCGAGCGUUAAUCGGAAUUACUGGGCGUAAAGCGCGCGUAGGUGGUUCAGUCAGUCAGAUGUGAAAGCCCCGGGCUCAACCUGGGAACUGCACCUGAUACUGCUGAGCUAGAGUACGGUAGAGGGCAGUGGAAUUUCCGGUGUAGCGGUGAAAUGCGUAGAGAUCGGAAGGAACACCAGUGGCGAAGGCGACUGCCUGGACUGAUACUGACACUGAGGUGCGAAAGCGUGGGUAGCAAACAGGAUUAGAUACCCUGGUAGUCCACGCCGUAAACGAUGUCAACUAGCCGUUGGGGGACUUGAUCCUUUAGUGGCGAAGCUAACGCGAUAAGUUGACCGCCUGGGGAGUACGGCCGCAAGGUUAAAACUC
rnacentral:rRNA from 1 species